CGACGAGUUUGAUCCUGGCUCAGGACGAACGCUUGCGGCGUGCCUAAGAAAUGCAAGUCGAACGGGGACUUCGGUCCUAGUGGCGAACGGUCGCGUAACACGUAAGCAACCUGCCCUGAAGUGGGGGACAACAUCCCGAAAGGGGUGCUAAUACCGCAUGUGGUCACGAGUCGGCAUCGACUUGUGUCUAAAGAUUUAUCGCUUCAGGAUGGGCUUGCGGCCUAUCAGGUAGUUGGUGGGGUAAUGGCCUACCAAGCCGACGACGGGUAGCUGGUCUGAGAGGACGAUCAGCCGGAUUGGGACUGAGAUACGGCCCAGACUCCUACGGGGGGCAGCAAUUAGGAAUCUUGCGCAAUGGGGAAACCCUGACGCAGCGACGUCGCGUGAAGGAU
rnacentral:rRNA from 1 species